GAAUAGUUUUUCUUAAAAACAAGUCAAUGAAUUGACUUUGUUUUCUACCCAAGAGGAUCAAGAAGAGACAUAGAUAACUUUAAUAACACACUGCAGUAUCAAAAAUAUUCUUAAAAGGCACUGGAAAGAGUAUUAGGAAAUCCUGGUAUUCAUGAAGCUGUCUUUCUGGCCUGUAUCUUCAAUUUCAGGAAGGAAAAAGGCA
rnacentral:lncRNA from 1 species